rnacentral:lncRNA from 1 species
GAUGAGACCUUCAGUUUGUGCCCACACUCAUUUGCAGCAACCCUAACAGAGAUUGCGAAAGUUUUCAAAGUGGGGCACCUCGAUUUCUCGAAUCUGUGGUGUGGCGAAUAUCCGUGUACCUCCUGCUUAACUAGCCUGUUUGAAGGCACAGUUCAUUCUCGAGCAAUUCGUCACCUCCUGGGGGUCUUCUCUUCCCGUCUACAGGAGAGUGUGACUUCAGAAAGAACUUCGGAUUGGCCAAGGCAGGUCUGAUUCUAUUUAUUCUAAAGACAGAGUUGGAGAUGGGCUACCAUUGGUAUUGAUUGAGAUGACAAGCAGUCACCUGAACCCAUACAGCUGGGUUCGCAGAUGUGGCUAGUCUUGCUAGCCAGCUCGCUCUGUGGAAAUUCUAGGGAACUGACUGCAGUCCUCAUGCUUGGAGUCAAACACUUUAACCACUACGCAAGUUUAUGUAAUAGGAUUGACAUAUCAGAAUCACAGAAAGGAAUGAAAGAUUAGAGUGGGAGAAAGUGCUUGCUACCAAGCCUGAUGACCUAAAUUGAAUCCUGGAACCUACAGGACAAAAAGAGAGAGCUGACUGCUGAAAGAUGUCCUCAGAUCUUCACAUAUGCACAGUGGCACCUAUCCGACCAUGCACAUAGUAUAUUAAAAAUUAUUUUUAAAAAA